UUUCCGUAGGUGAACCUGCGGAAGGAUCAUUACUAAAUUAAAUAUGUUAGCGGACCUACUCUAACCCCCUAGCAUCAAAUCAUAUCCAUAACACCUGAAAACUGUAAGCCUCUCUUAAACACAAACGUGAUCAUAGCGCCAUCCCAUUGUAUACAAACAUUAAAUUAACAAUCGUAUUCUUAUUAUAAUCUAAUAAUACUUUCAACAACGUCUCUCUUGUCUCUCGCAUCGAUGAAUAACGCACACGAUCUGAACAGCACACACAUCAGCUCCACGCAC
rnacentral:misc_RNA from 1 species